GGAUUUAUAAGCUCACAAUGGCAAAAGCACUCAUUCAAUGAGAGGUUGAUGGUUCGAAUCCAUCUAGAUCUA